rnacentral:rRNA from 1 species
GACGAACGCUGGCGGCGUGCCUAAUACAUGCAAGUCGAACGCACAGUUUAUACCGUAGCUUGCUACACCAUAGACUGUGAGUUGCGAACGGGUGAGUAACGCGUAGCUAACCUGCCUGGUAGCGGGGGAUAACUAUUGGAAACGUUAGCUAAUACCGCAUAAUAUUAAUUAUUCCAUGAUAAUUAAUUGAAAGGUGCAAUUGCACAACUACAAGAUGGCCCUGCGUUGUAUUAGCUAGUAGGUGAGGUAACGGCUCACCUAGGCGACGAUACAUAGCCGAACUGAGAGGGUGAUCGGCCACACUGGGACUGAGACACGGCCCAGGCUCCUACGGGAAGGAAGAGGAGGGAAACUUUGGCAAAUGACGAAAAUCUGAACGAACAACGCCGCGGGGGUGAAGAAGGUUUUCGGAACGUAAAGCUCUGUUGUAAGAGAAGAACGGGUGUGAGAGUGGAAAGUUCACACUGUGACGGUAUCUUACCAGAAAGGGACGGCUAACUACGUG